rnacentral:lncRNA from 1 species
CCGCUGGAGGUGCUCUUUUAGCUCAUCCCUGCUAUCCGGUUGUGCCUUCCUGCUUAGUUUGCCUGUCGGUCUGGCCUUCGUCCUUCCUGUUGGCUGAGGUUCUUUCUCUUUCCUUUCUCCGGUAUCUUUUUUCUUGCCUAACUGUGGAUGUGCGAGACGUGUGAUCACAACGGCCCCUGAAAAUGAAAAUCGUGGUUUGUUUUCCAUCUCCAACCCAAAUCCUGCUAUGUACGUUUUUCAUUUUUUUCCACCCCAUUCACGGGGGGCAAGGGCAGUUAGGGUUCCGUCUCUAACCUCUCUGGUCGGCCCACUCUGGCGGCUUGUUUUGGCAAACCAUGCCUCGCUCCAUCUUCUCACCCGUCUUCCCCUGCCCCAUCCUAGCCUCCUCUUAUGUCCCAUGCCUCGAUCUCCUCCGCCCCGUCUUCCCCUGCCCCAUCCUAGCCUCCUCUUAUGUCCCAUGCCUCGAUCUCCUCCGCCCCGUCUUCCUCUCCUAUGUCGUCGUCCCGAGUGGUAAUUGCACCUCCGUGUGCCCAUUCCCUUGGCCAUGUGACCUCCCUCCUCUCUUGUCCCUCCUCCCUCUUUGGCCCCUCCCAUCCUCUGUUGUGUCAUAUUCUUUCUUGCUUGUGAAUGUUGCUUUCCUGACUAUGCAAUUUUUUUAUGCAAUGUGAUUAUCUGCUUUAAGUGCAUGUUGUGUCUAUGAAUUAUGGAGUGUAUGAUGUGGAAUGGAGUUUGCUUGCAACGUGUUUGCGAAAAUGCUUGUAGGAAAAAAGUGUCUUCUUCUAUCUAAUAAUAUAUAUGAAUUGAUCUUUAGAAGUUGGAUUCGCCGAUUACGCGUGACAAUUUAACCAUGCCCGUCAAACAUCAUGUGUGGUCGAUCGUUGAAUGCAUGAAGUCGAGCACCCGACUAGAGAGCAUUUUGUGCUUGUACGCGCAUAGUGGUGGAAGCAACAACCAUUUGUCUUGCCAAACUGCUAUCUACUUUUUUUACACGUAACUGCUAUCUACUCCAAGCCAAUCACACAAAAACUGCUUUGCUAUGUUACUUUGUGACAGGGACGACAGUUCCUGUCUUUCUUGGCGCCAGCGAGAACGCGAUCUCCACCCCUCUCUGUCCGCUGCUCCGGCGGCUGGUGGAGAGGGUGGGCUCCUGUUUUCUCUCCCUGUUGUUUCAUUGAUUUAGGGCUUCGGCUUCGUCUAGUAGCGCCAAUUUGGCGAGGUUGGUGCCGCAUCAAAUAAGGUGACCUCAGUCUCUUCCUCACCACGGCAAAGUUCUCUGCGGCGACGCUGUUGAGUCGAUGGUCUCGUUUGCUUGCCGUUCAUUCGGACCAGUAGGCCUUAUGUUUCUUGUGUUUGACGGUUGUUGUCUCUCAUGGUGGCGCUGACAAGUGGGACAGAUUGGUGUUGGUACAAGAUUGGUGGCUCGACGGCAGCAGAUUUGACGUUCUUCCCCGACAACGGCCGAAUGCGUUAGAUCUGGAUCCAGGUCGUCGCGGGGAACAUCCUCGGUCGACACGCCACAUCGUCGAGUGCAAGUUCUGCAAGUCCGGUAUUUGGCUCACAAUGCCUACAAGGCUAUGGCGUUGGCCUGGAUUUUGGUUUGCUGGUGCUCCGCAUCUUCCCUCGAUGUGCGUCUCAACGGCACUGGUGGUCAGCGGCCAUUUCCGAUUUGGUUGUUUGUAGGGACUCCAAUAAACUUAUUUGUAAUCUUUUGUGUGGAGUUCUUUCUGCAAUGUUUCCUAGACAUAUGUCAUGACUCGGUCUUUCUGAUAGUUUUCGCAUGUAUGUGUGCAAUUGUACUUUGUUUUAUUGAUUAAUAUAAGGUUUUUUUUAUCA